rnacentral:rRNA from 1 species
ACUCCUACGGGAGGCAGCAGUGGGGAAUCUUAGACAAUGGGGGCAAACCCUGAUCUAGCCAUGCCGCGUGAGUGAUGAAGGCCUUAGGGUCGUAAAAGCUCUUUCGCCAGGGAUGAUAAUGACAGUACCUGGUAAAGAAACCCCCGGCUAACUCCGUUGCCAGCAGCCGCGGUAAUACGGAGGGGGUUAGCGUUGUUCGGAAUUACUGGGCGUAAAGCGCGCGUAGGCGGACUAGAAAGUUGGGGUGAAAUCCCGGGCUCAACCUCGGAACUGCCUUCAAAACUCCUAGUCUAGAGUUCGAGAGAGGUGAGUGGAAUUCCAAGUGUAGAGGUGAAAUUCGUAGAGUAUUUGGAGGAACACCAGUGGCGAAGGCGGCUCACUGGCUCGAUACUGACGCUGAGGUGCGAAAGUGUGGGGAGC